rnacentral:rRNA from 1 species
UACGUAGGGCGCGAGCGUUGUCCGGAAUUAUUGGGCGUAAAGAGCUCGUAGGCGGCUUGUCACGUCGGGUGUGAAAGACCGGGGCUUAACUCCGGUUCUGCAUUCGAUACGGGCUAGCUAGAGUGUGGUAGGGGAGAUCGGAAUUCCUGGUGUAGCGGUGAAAUGCGCAGAUAUCAGGAGGAACACCGGUGGCGAAGGCGUAUCUCUGGGCCAUUACUGACGCUGAGGAGCGAAAGCGUGGGGAGCGAACAGG